AGUGAACGCUGGCGGUAGGCCUAACAUAUGCAAGUCGAACGGCAGCACAGUAAGAGCUUGCUCUUACGGGUGGCGAGUGGCGGACGGGUGAGGAAUACAUCGGAAUCUACUUUUUCGUGGGGGAUAACGUAGGGAAACUUACGCUAAUACCGCAUACGACCUACGGGUGAAAGCAGGGGAUCUUCGGACCUUGCGCGAUUGAAUGAGCCGAUGUCGGAUUAGCUAGUUGGCGGGGUAAAGGCCCACCAAGGCGACGAUCCGUAGCUGGUCUGAGAGGAUGAUCAGCCACACUGGAACUGAGACACGGUCCAGACUCCUACGGGAGGCAGCAGUGGGGAAUAUUGGACAAUGGGCGCAAGCCUGAUCCAGCCAUACCGCGCGGGUGAAGAAGGCCUUCGGGUUGUAAAGCCCUUUUGUUGGGAAAGAAAAGCAGCAGGUUAAUACCCCGCUGUUCUGACGGUACCCAAAGAAUAAGCACCGGCUAACUUCGUG
rnacentral:rRNA from 1 species